GUCUGCGGCCAUGCUACCCUGAGCAAGCCCGAUCCCGUCUGAUGUGUGAUUUCAGAAGCUAAGCAGGGUUGAGCCUGGUUAGUACUUGAAUGGGAGACCACCUAGGAAGACCAGGUGCUGUAGGCA
rfam:Pteropus alecto contig89689, whole genome shotgun sequence.